AUUUUGGGACUAGUCUAUACAUUGAAAGUUGCAAAAGAUCCUGGUCUUACAAUUUAAAAAUUUUGAAUAGUCAGGAGUGGCGGUAAAGUCUUUUGGCAGGCGCGCAGGUAGUCUUUUUCCUCGUCCGUUCCUUAAUAAAGAUUUAAAUCCAAACAAAUUUUAUGGUUUUUGUUUAAAAAAAAAAAUUAACUCUAAACUUGCAGUUAUUGCACAACUGAGUGAAUAACAUGAUAGUCUUAUGACAUAGCUAUCGCGAAACACUUAAUAUUUUGCUCAGCAGCGGUAGACUGCCGAUUUUCUAUCGCCCUUGCACCGAAGGCUGAAAUCGUUGGAAAAUAUUGCGAAUCUAUUUUGUGCUCAUCAGGGAGGAUUGGUUUCCUUCAAAUUUCGGAGCUUUUGGUUGAAUCACACAAACCAUAUCGGGCAAAAUGGCCAAGAACCUUGAAAACUUAAAUGGGUAUUAUUAAUGAUCGUAUUUCAUAAGACUUCAAGGGAAAAUAUUCUGAUACUAACAUAUUUAAGAGUCUGCGUAGACUUAUAAUUUCUGGGUUAAAAUUAUAGAAAUAAAAUAAAGCAUUUAACUUAUGGUAUGUAGCUUUGUUUUAUUUUAAGCUAAAUUUGCAGAAAUGCAUACAUUAUUAAGUUUUGAGCUUACGGUUUAUAAAAAAAUACGAAUCAUAUGGGAGUGCAUCGAGCGUAACAUUGUGACGUACUUAUAAAAUUACACAGCUCAAAAAAAUGCAAUGGUCUAAUACACUGCAGACUUUAAAAUACCAUUAACACACCAAUACGUCAUAAGUAUACGAAGGUUGAAAACAAUGUUCUUGUGAUGAAUUUGAGUUUAGUUCAAUACACGUAUGUUUGUGAUUUCUUGCUGAAAUUUAUUACAUUUAUGAUAGCUUUAACUGCUUGCAAGCUGUUUUUCUAUCGGACCCAAUCCGUGCAUCCGUGCAUACUGUAAAAAUUAUACAACAGUAUGUUUAAAUCUGUAUCUGCAAGUUCGCGACAACAGCAUCAAAUAAUUUUAAAUAUUAAGAAAUCCAUCUAACCGUGAUGCAUGGCCGACAUGGGUUAUUCUGCUGGGAAAAAAGGCAAAAACUAUAAAAACUGUAAUUAAUAUAUUUGUAUGAGGAAAAAUCCUUUCCUUGCAGAUAAAAAUAAGAUAUUUAAAAACUGGAAAACCUAAUAAUAAAUGGGGAAAACAAUUGAACAAAAUGUUUGUGUAUGAUAGUAUCUAUAUUUUCAAGCGCUGUUAUUGCAAAAUGUGUUUUAUUUUACUUUUCCGCCCAUCACUUCCGCUAUUCUAUGUAUGCAUAUGUAUGUAUGUAUAAGAUUUUGUUAAACAUUUAUGAAUCGUUUAUGUAUUGUAGGAUUUAAAGUGGUUUUUCAAUUUAUUGUUGUAGCUUAUAUGGCCAUCAUAUUAUAUGUAAAUAGUUGUUCACUAAUACAUAAUUAUGUUAUUUAAAUCAUUAUUAAUUUUUUUGUAUAUAAAUUAAGGACUUAAACAUAAUAAGAAAAUUUUUUAUAAAGUGUUUUGUUUACUUGUUUCAUUACUUGAUUUUUAAAGUUUUUUACGCAAUAAUUUUAAUAUACCUUUAGUUUUUGCUGUGAUUUUUAUAUUUUGUAAAUGCUUUAACUUUAUUUGACUUCGCUUCAUCAGGAUUUACUUUCUGAAGUUAGGUUCAUACGUGAAAAAUUGUAUUUUGUUUGAAGUCAUACAUGCCUUCAAUGAUACUGUUUCAAUGUGCAAACGACUAAUGCGUCAUUGUGUUGUACUCCUGGUCGUGCGCACUCGUCCACUCAACAAAUAAGACAUGAAGCAAGUUUUCUGUACGUACGUUU
rnacentral:sRNA from 1 species